UUCCCCUGCAGGAGAGAGACACGACGAGCACGUCACUCUCUAUUUGACUCCCUAAACACAGAAACGAAGUUGUUCUCACCAGGGUGGAAAUAGAUUUUUUGAACAUUUUAUCGGCAGUUGAGAAAUAUAUACAGGAGAAUUGUAGAUAAACUUACGGCCUGACGCGAUGGAAUUAGGAUAACAAAUAAAAUAGCAGUGAAAUAAGCAAAGAACUGACUUGACAUUUGUGAUAAAAAUGUUUCGUAAUUUUGCAGAAUAUUAAGUUAGAAAUGGUUGCAAGCGUUACGAACCGUGAUUUUACUGAAAUACACUGCCGAAAAGUAAAAGGAUGUUCUGCUCAAUUAAAA